rnacentral:misc_RNA from 1 species
GAUGAAGAACGCAGCGAAAUGCGAUAAGUAAUGUGAAUUGCAGGAUUCAGUGAAUCAUCGAGUCUUUGAACGCACAUUGCGCCCCCUGGUAUUCCGGGGGGCAUGCCUGUCCGAGCGUCAUUGCUGCCCUCAAGCACGGCUUGUGUGUUGGGCCCCGCCCCCCGGCUCCCGGGGGGCGGGCCCGAAAGGCAGCGGCGGCACCGCGUCCGGUCCUCGAGCGUAUGGGGCUUCGUCACCCGCUCCGUAGGCCCGGCCGGCGCCCGCCGGCGACCCCCCUCAAUCUUUUCAGGUUGACCUCGGAUCAGGUAGGGAUACCCGCUGAACUUAAGCAUAUCAAUAAGCGGAGGA